GGAGCGUUCUGUAAGCCUGCGAAGGUGUGCUGUGAGGCAUGCUGGAGGUAUCAGAAGUGCGAAUGCUGACAUAAGUAACGAUAAAGCGGGUGAAAAGCCCGCUCGCCGGAAGACCAAGGGUUCCUGUCCAACGUUAAUCGGGGCAGGGUGAGUCGACCCCUAAGGCGAGGCCGAAAGGCGUAGUCGAUGGGAAACAGGUUAAUAUUCCUGUACUUGGUGUUACUGCGAAGGGGGGACGGAGAAGGCUAUGUUGGCCGGGCGACGGUUGUCCCGGUUUAAGCGUGUAGGCUGGUUUUCCAGGCAAAUCCGGAAAAUCAAGGCUGAGGCGUGAUGACGAGG
rnacentral:rRNA from 1 species